rnacentral:rRNA from 1 species
AAUGGGUCAGCGACUUAUAUUCUGUAGCAAGGUUAACCGAAUAGGGGAGCCGAAGGGAAACCGAGUCUUAACUGGGCGUUAAGUUGCAGGGUAUAGACCCGAAACCCGGUGAUCUAGCCAUGGGCAGGUUGAAGGUUGGGUAACACUAACUGGAGGACCGAACCGACUAAUGUUGAAAAAUUAGCGGAUGACUUGUGGCUGGGGGUGAAAGGCCAAUCAAACCGGGAGAUAGCUGGUUCUCCCCGAAAGCUAUUUAGGUAGCGCCUCGUGAAUUCAUCUCCGGGGGUAGAGCACUGUUUCGGCAAGGGGGUCAUCCCGACUUACCAACCCGAUGCAAACUGCGAAUACCGGAGAAUGUUAUCACGGGAGACACACGGCGGGUGCUAACGUCCGUCGUGAAGAGGGAAACAACCCAGACCGCCAGCUAAGGUCCCAAAGUCAUGGUUAAGUGGGAAACGAUGUGGGAAGGCCCAGACAGCCAGGAUGUUGGCUUAGAAGCAGCCAUCAUUUAAAGAAAGCGUAAUAGCUCACUGGUCGAGUCGGCCUGCGCGGAAGAUGUAACGGGGCUAAACCAUGCACCGAAGCUGCGGCAGCGACACUAUGUGUUGUUGGGUAGGGGAGCGUUCUGUAAGCCUGCGAAGGUGGCCUGUGAGGGUUGCUGGAGGUAUC